UUGAGGGGGGCUGCUCCUAGUACGCUCCUAGUACGAGAGGACCGGAGUGGACGCAUCACUGGUGUUCGGGUUGUCAUGCCAAUGGCACUGCCCGGUAGCUAAAUGCGGAAGAGAUAAGUGCUGAAAGCAUCUAAGCACGAAACUUGCCCCGAGAUGAGUUCUCCCUGAGACUUUAAGUCUCCUGAAGGAACGUUGAAGACGACGACGUUGAUAGGUCGGGUGUGUAAGCGCAGCGAUGCGUUGAGCUAACCGAUACUAAUGAACCGUGAGGCUUAACCUU
rnacentral:rRNA from 1 species